rnacentral:rRNA from 1 species
GUGCCAGCCGCCGCGGUAAUACGUAGGUGGCAAGCGUUGUCCGGAUUUAUUGGGCGUAAAGCGAGCGCAGGCGGUUCUUUAAGUCUGAUGUGAAAGCCCCCGGCUCAACCGGGGAGGGUCAUUGGAAACUGGAGAACUUGAGUGCAGAAGAGGAGAGUGGAAUUCCACGUGUACCCGGUGAAAUGCGNUAGAUAUGUGGAGGAACACCAGUGGCGAAGGCGACUCUCUGGUCUGUAACUGACGCUGAGGCUCGAAAGCGUGGGGAGCAAACAGGAUUAGAU